AAGUCGAACGGUAACAGCGGAGCUUGCUCCGGCUGACGAGUGGCGAACGGGUGAGUAAUGUAUCGGAACAUAUCCGGAAGUGGGGGAUAACUAGUCGAAAGAUUAGCUAAUACCGCAUAUGCCCUUAGGGGGAAAGGGGGGAUCUUAGGACCUCUCGCUUUCGGAGUGGCCGAUAUCGGAUUAGCUAGUAGGUGAGGUAAAGGCUCACCUAGGCGACGAUCCGUAGCUGGUCUGAGAGGACGACCAGCCACACUGGAACUGAGACACGGUCCAGACUCC
rnacentral:rRNA from 1 species